rnacentral:hammerhead_ribozyme from 1 species
AUUCAGCUGACAAGUCCCAAACAGGACGAAACGCGCGUCUUGGAU